AUGGUAUCAGUGCCGUGUUGAAUCCCAUCGUAUCUCCAAAGCUACCAAUUAUUUCAUCGUUCUGCUGAAACUCCGGGCAGCGCCCCUCGAAAUCUUUGGUUGAUGUUGCAAUUGGAGUCGAGUGGGAGCGACGUUAUCGAUAGUUUAGGUCGAUAGGGCGAUAGCUGCAGCAGCGGGAUGAGUCUGGCGGGCGAUCUGGCCAUUUGAAGAUUAAUCCCGGUUCGCUCUGGGAUUACUUCAAAUGGCCCAUGUAUCCAAUGACCCAAUGACGAGAGAGGCCAUGUAAUAUGGCGGGGGGGCGAUGAUCAGCAGAUAGCGUGAUAGUCGCGGCCAUACUGUCCAGCAAUCAAGGCAGAUGCAGCUAGGAGUGCUAGUAAAAAUUUUCUUUGUGCCUUAAAUUAAAAAGCAGCCGGGGUCCCAAUACAAAGGGCCCCGGAAGAAUUUAAUUGGAGAUCUGCUGACAUCUGCGCGACUUCGACAUACCUGCCAGCCCGAAUUGGCGGCACAGCAAACGGUGUCCGUUCGACCCGUAUCAGCGACCAGCAAGAAGGGCCUUUCCCAGUCGACGACGA